rnacentral:misc_RNA from 1 species
GUGUGUGUAUGCAGCAGCAACGGUUGGAAAAAGUGCGCGCGCGCGCGCGCGUCUGAAGCGUUUCUGAAGCGUGGACCCAUCCGUCGGUAAAUCUUUAAAAAUCGAUCGACACUAUGUGCGAGGUCACGUCACGUGUCGGAGGUUUAACCCCAGUUUUGGAUCGUGUGUGAUUGGAAAGAAGAGGCGACUCGUCUUCUUCGAUGCGACGUGAUUUUCACGUGAUUAAUUGAAGAACGUGGUUUUUCAAUUGAAGAAAUACCGAGUGGCAUCGUAGAUUAAUAGCAAGGGGGGUUGCACGGUGACCAAAAAAAGUCACAACGUCAUAAAAAUUGUGUAAAAGAUUGUGGUGACAAGAGUUAAUAGUGAUAAAAAAAAUUUCAAGAGUCGACUUGAAUCGAUGUAUAAUAUCCAAAUUAUGGAUAUUCGUGCGGAAGCGAUGUGUCGCCAUGACGAUUGGACGAAGAUCAUGGGGACCUUAACCGGCCCCGAGGGACGACUCUGUCCUCGCCUGCACGCUCGGAGAUGCGACUCUCGGCAUCGCGUUUAGAAACGGUCCAGCCGCUAUGGAAUUUGCUCUGUGAUAGUCAGUUUUAUCCAGCCAAAGAAUUGCUUUACGGAUUUACGGAGAUCGGAAUCUUCGGAAGCUUUAUCCUACCAAAGAGAAGCGGAGUAAUUGCGCUUUAUCGCUCGUAGCAAUAAUACAUAUAUUUUCGAUAAUUUAUAAAACGGAAAGCGAUCUCAUCGCACUGGGAACACCCAGGCAUAUCGGAACUCUCAAAGGGAUUAGAUAUCUCGAUAGGACAUUGGGACAUAUAUCAAGCGGAAACUAUCGAGCGAUAUCCAGAUGAAAUUUCGCAAAUCCUCUUCAUCCAGCCCGAAGAUGGAAUUAUUAUCGAGACGUUCCUCGGGCGGCAGGAUGUCGACCUUGAAGAGGUCGAGGUCCUUCCGAGCGUCUGUGAAACUGAUAUCGAAGAUACGCAACCACGCGAAUUUGCGAUUGACCCCCGGUUUCGAUCUCUCGUCCGUCUCGAAAGAUCUCAUCGCUAAGAAGGGAUGUAACCUCUCCGCCCUUGAAGAAUCUCAGGGCGAGAAGUCAUCGACUCCACGAAAAGACUCCGAGGACACGAGUCCUCCUAUCGAGGAGAAAAUCGGUGACGAGGCAUCCACCAGUCCUCGGAGGGUCUCGGUGUCGACUCUCGACGCCGAUCCGCGAGAGAUCACAAAAGAUCUAAAGAGCAAGCUGUCUCUGACCGACAGACUAAUGGGUAAGGGUCGUAAGGACGUGGAAAAACCCUCGACGAAGGACGAAGGUAUGAUGAAAUCACCGAAGGUUAUUCACAUCUUUCGCAGAAGACACAGCGCGGACAACCCGCAGGAGGAUACUCGAGGGAAGGACUGUACUGAUAAAUCUGUGUCUUACGAGACAGAUAUGUGUCGAUCGAGUAAACAUGUGUUCUAUGAGAACCCCACAUUCGUGCUGGAUAGCUCCUUGGACUCCUCCGUCUCGAGCUUCCUCUUUGAAGUCGAAGAGGAGGAAGAGGAACAACGACAGAAACAAGAUGAGAAAACUAAGAGCGCUGCAUCAUCCAAGUGCGACAUUCUGACCGUCGUCGUGGAUUCCCACAAGGCUAACGGACCUUUCUAUCGCAAAAAGAAUUAUGCGCGAGGUGAAAAUGAAAAAUACCUCGAGAACGAAGACUCGCGAAAUGCAUUUCGUCCUAGAUGCGAGACAGAUCCUCCGAAAUGUCCUCGCGAACCGAGGGGCGAGGGCUCGCCCGCGAGCGCGAUAAACCGACGGACGGUCGAGUCCUUCGGAGAAUUUGAUCGCCCGAGGAUUAAGUUUUAUUGCAAGGUACACGAGACGGAGAAAAAAAAUGCGACGGUCUAUCAGAGUCAGAAAAUUCACGAUGAUGCUAAGAUCUGUCCUUCGAAGUCCUGCAGAAUCAGGACGGUCGACAAUAUCGCCAAUUUUUGGACGAGCAAACGUGGUAAUAGUUUCCGGAAUAAAAUAGUGACCGGUAGGAAAAGAGACGCGAAGGAUUACGAGCAGCUCGGUCAGGAGCGAGUUUUCAUGUCGACAUCAUCGGGAUCAAAAUUCCACUCGUUGCAAGGGAUGGAGUUCCUGGAGGGUUUGGGUAAGAAGAAACAGCAGCCCCAACAACUAAAUAAUCUAUCGUCGAUACACAUCAAUCCUCUCUCGGCCCAAUCCCUCAACAUACACCUGCAUGCCCUAUUUGCGGCUGUGGAACAUGGUCACUUGGAUAAGGCGAGGACUAUUUUGGAGUCUACCGAUGUGGACGUAAAUAGCGUUAACAGCGACGGCCUGUCACCGCUGGACGUUGCCGUGCUGAGUAACAACAGGCCGCUGGCAAAAAUGCUAGUUGCUUUCGGGGCGCAGGAAGGGAACCAAUUCAAGUCUCCGGAAUCUCUGGGUAGUCACUUGGCAUCAUUGCUCUCGGAAGCGGAACACAGAGUUCAAGAACUUGGUGGCAGUACUUCCGGCAGCGGUGGAACUAUUCUGUUAGAGCCGCCUGGCAGCCAUAGGGCCAGCUUUUCCACGCAACAUAACAAUCUCACGGGAUGCGGUGGUAGCACAGAGGACAAGCAGCUUGCUCUGUGGGAAAGGAGAGCCAGAGCUCUCAGGAAAAUGUUACUGGGUUUCGAUCAAGCGCGCCCACCCGACAUGCCCUUCCUAGUCGCGGUUGACGUCACCGGAACGACGUCAGUGACAGUCAGGUUCCAAGAACCGGACUCGCACGACUCUCCGAUCUGUACCAAGUUCAAGGUUCAAUGGAGCUUGCACGAUGACUUUUCGGUCGUUUGCGGCGAGAGAGAGGUUCUGGACAUGAAGCAGAGGGAAUGUCGCAUCGAAAGCUUAACGCAAGGUCAAAGGUAUCACUUUCGCGCCGCAGCCGGAAAUCUGAAGGGUUACAGCAGGUUCAGGAACUCAUCACCCGCACACGUUACACCUAGCAGUUGGAGAGAUAUAGAUGGCAGAGUGCCGAGAUUCGCGGGGCGGUUGGAACAGUUGAACACUUUGUUCACCGACAUAAGGCGGCCGGAGUACACGCAAGAAACGCCGGCGGUGCAGAGGCGAAAUCACAAGAAGAAAACAACGAUAAAACAGCUCUUCACAGCGACGAGUAAAUUUCAGAAGAAUCUCAGGCGAGGAGUAUUUCUGGCGUGUCUACUCUAUCACGAGGACAAGGUUCUCGUUACAAAUGAAGAUUUUUUACCCGUAAUUGAGAUAGACGAGACGUAUCCCAGCUGUAUCUACAACGAUUUUCAUUGGCUCAUGAAAGUCGCCUGUACGUGGGACGACGUUAAAUCCCUUCGGCAGGACAUGGAAAAGAGUCACAGCAGCUCGACUAAUCAUUUUAGGAUAAAAUUACUUCAAGCAGCUGCCCAAAUGCAGGCUGCGCUGUGCAUACAAGACCUUGGACAAUUGUAUCAUAAACCUAUCAGAGACAUCCAAGGCACUUUAGUGUUCUCGACAGUGAAUUACAUAAAGUCACCGAAAUUGGUAUCUGUAUUAAACAGCAGAUGGUUGCCGCUCAGUAAAGUCAUAAAAAAGGUCAUAACGCACGAAGACAGUAACGUCUCUGAUAUCCUGAUGGCCAGCAUACAAGAGCAAAUGACAUAUCACCAAGUCAGCAGUAUUAAACUAUCUAAGGGUUUAUAUCUCGGUUAUCUGAAAAUGCAAAGCAGCGUGGACCUCAUACAGGUUGUUGUUCCAACGAAAUCGCCGAAUGUAUUGCCACAUUGCAAGAUCCGCGAUAAUCCGCACGUGUCUGCGGAGGAGUGGGACUACCUCAAGAGGGUAACGCGCAUCUGCACAUCCGAAUCUUCCGUGAAGGAAUCCGAGGAGAAGGAGAACGUGACAAACGAGGCGCAAGGGACGGAACAGCAGAAGCUGUUUGUCGAUUUGGUCGCCGCGACAGCGCGACGACUGUUCAAUUAUAUGGAAAUCAAUCCGGAGGAUUCGUUGGGGCAUCGGCUAUACGACGCCGAGGUGAUCGAUCUGACUCACGACGUGUCGUUCCUGAUCGCCGUACCGCCCGCCGAAACCGCUUGUUGCGUGCCUGGCACGCGAGAAAUUCUGCUACAACGCGGUGAUCUCCUAUCGUUGCCCAUUCAAGUCUUCGAGAUGGUGCACCUGAACACGUAUCAAAAAGAUGUAAUCAAUCGUUACUCGAGACUCAGCUGCAUCUUGGAACUGGACACCGCGCAGGCACAGCAUAAUCACAGAGAAGCCUUCAGUUCCUUGGAAUUGAGCAUUGCGAAGGAUAAACUUGCGAGACUGCAGGAUCUUCAGACGCAAGUGAACACCGUGUGGAAAGGUGCCAGAUGGUUGAUUGACGUUAUAACUUUCGCGAGAGAUCGCGGCUCUUCCCAACAAAACAUCGCGUCGCAAACCGUUGGCAUAUCUAUGAAACACUUGCUCAGUCUGGAUAGAAACAAAAACAGCAACAGUAACAGUUUGAAACGAAGUUUGUUACAAUUGCCACCGAGAGAUCCUAAGCUCGUGAAGUCGAGCCCCGGCCGUGGCAGCUGGCCAGGUCCCAAUCUGUCGAAAUCGUCCUCCAACCUUCUCACGACGGAAUUCAGCAAGAGCGAGCAACAAUUGCCCAGUGGGCAAUAUGUUCGCAAGGGCAGCAAUACCUCAAACGCAUCGACGACCUCGGAGCCGCCGAAAUCAUCAUGCGCGCCGAUAAGCAGCAACAGCAAUCUGAGCAAUUUGACAACCACCAGCAGCGCCAAUCAUUUAUUACCGCUACAGAACACGAGGUUACCGCCCUCCAAGUCCGAGGACACCUUGAUCCUCACCAAGUACAAACACAGCCCGCGAAAUCGUUCUGCCACGAUAACAUCGACGUCGGCCACCACCAGUCCGUUGUUGAGCAUCAAGCCCAUCAUGUACGGCGGUUCGUUGCUGAGUGUCUCCACGGCGAUGACAAACACUACGAGUCUGCUGAGCGUGAGUAACACGAAUUCCGAUAGUCUGCACUCGUUGAGCAGCGAUGAGUACUCCGCGACGAAUUCAAGCGUCUGCUUGAAAGCCGGCCAGCCGAUCAAAAUCAAGACGUCCAAGCCGACCGCGAGCGUCGCGGCGAUGGCCACCGUUCCGCCGGAUAAUCUGGAUAACGAGGAGAAGGACGAGGCGACGAUGAUGCCGGCACCCCUGCCAGGCAUUCUUCAGGGAACACAAGUCUAACCCGAUUAUAAUUAAAAACAGCUCACUUGGUCCUCUCGUGCAAACCGAAUGUAGCGGAUAUAUUGAGUUUACGCGGCCUAUGAGACUGGUUUGGCAGCUGGUACCAGUUUGAAGCUGCACGUAACACCA